GAACAUCUCAUUUCUUGAAAUAAUGAUAGGCUUUGUGUAGAGCGUGCCUUGCUGGUUACUCUGCUCUUUGAAUCGUGAUGAUUGGUUGAAUAUUUAGAGAGAUAUGGUGAAAUGAACUUUGAUGUCUAAACUUGUUCUUGCUUAAUAUUCUUUGUUUAGCAUGGUUUAAUGAUUAUUGAUGUUGGAUUAUGAAUGUGCAUGUUUAGAUGAACAUUUUGGUGUUUUUGUUUUUGAAUUUGGAAAAAAAAAAAAAAAAUUCAACGUGGGUUUGAUGGAUACAUUGUUACUGUAAGUGUCUUUUUU
rnacentral:lncRNA from 1 species